rnacentral:rRNA from 1 species
CGAAGGAUGCAAGCGUUAUCCGGAUUCAUUGGGUUUAAAGGGAGCGUAGGUGGCCUUAUAAGUCAGUGGUGAAAUCUUCGAGCUUAACUCGGAAAUUGCCAUUGAUACUGUAGGGCUUGAGUAUAGUUGCCGUUGGCGGAAUAUGACAUGUAGUGGUGAAAUACAUAGAGAUGUCAUAGAACACCGAUUGCGAAGGCAGCUGACGAAACUAUAACUGACACUGAGGCUCGAAAGUGCGGGGAUCAAACAGGAUUAGAUACCCUGGUAGUCCGCACUGUAAACGAUGAUUACUCGCUGCUAGGGGGCAACCUUUAGUGGCUUAGCGAAAGCGAUAAGUAAUCCACCUGGGGAGUACGCCGGCAACGGUG